CCCUGCGUCACACGGGCACGACCGUUUUCCUCCCAUUCCGACUGAAAAAACUGUUGCCAACGGGCAGGAAUUGUAGUAGAAUAAGGGUUACGAACUUGUCCUCCGCUGUGAGCUGCGGAGCCGGUCUCGCGCAAUGGAUACCCACGAAUCAUGUCAGGCGGGGAACCGAGCAGCAUUAAGAGGGAUCAUCCAUGUGCCGCGAGGGUGCCGGCUCUGUGGCUCACAGCGGAGGACGUUCGCUUUUAUUUUGCAUCUGCAGGG
rnacentral:SRP_RNA from 1 species